GAUAUCUCUAUCUCCAUACCUACGAUACUUUUUCCUUGAUUCAUCAGAUUUUUCAUGUAAUUGUUCACUUUUUUCACGUAAUUAAGACUUGUUUGAUUGUAGGCUCUAGAGAAAUUAGGUAAGGGCUUCGAUAGGAUGGGUCGCGGUUUGGAGUGUGUUGCUGUGGUGGGUGUGAUUUACCUGGGUUUCAAAUUGUGGUCUGAUUAUAGCAUCGAGUUAAUCGUCUCAAAUCCCGAAACCAAAACGACCAAAACCGCGCCGGGAAGGAGGCCAUGACCUGUGCUCUACCUGCAUGCAGUCAGAAGGCGUGUUCAGCUUAGUGUGUUCACAAUGCUUCUUAGGGUGUUUGGUGUUUAUUAAUUUUAGUCGAAUUGAUCUAUUAAAUAGCUGUGUUUUGUUCCCAGAUUAACAGAUUAAAAGAUUACUUCCCAGUUCGAUGACUAUGUAUUUUGUUGGGUCUGAUCGAUCACCACAUCCUCUACGACAAAAGUUUUGGUUUUUGUACUCAAUCUGUAGUAGGAAUGAGUCCACCACAUGGAUCGCCAUCGACUAAUAAGCAGCUGCUGUAUAAGUAAAAAAACAUUUUGAUAAGUUACUGUGCCUAGUUUUACUGCUCGUGCUAGUGCACCCCCUCCUGGGGAGCCAAAAAAUUCAAAUCAACCCUCUACUGGUGUCUGCGUCUUCAGUUUAUGAAUUAGUUUGUGCUUGUUCAGAAGAUGGUAGGUAAGUUAGCCAUGGAGAAGCAAGAGUGAUUGGUUCUGUACAUUCAUAUUUGUAACUAAGCAAAACAGGCAAAUGUCUCCUUCAACAUUUUCAUAUUUGUACCACAUGGAGUUCGACAAUUUGGGGCCUAUUGCCCAUAACUUGCUGAUCGAUACAGAUGUAUAUGGUAUACAAAUUCAAAAAGUGGUCCACUCACUUCUAUUAUUCAAGGGCAUACAAAAGACAUUUUGAGGGGAUAAAAUUAUCAUUUUACUAUAUUUUCAAGCAAUGAGAGUCACAUACUUAGUUUGUAUGGUAUACAAAUUUGUAUACUAGAAUUUUCCCAAUAUAUAUACCUUUUCAUCAAUUUUAGUCAUAUUUCAUCAUUUCUUUUAGCUGGCCAACCCAUCUACUUAACGGCAUUUUGAAUUCAAGUAAUUGAGUAACGCGUUAGAACUAACUGGUUAGUUUUAUUAUACGAAGCUAACCAACAUUUGUACAAACUAUUCGAUCACAUAUCAACAUUUUUACCAUUCAGUUUUUGGGUUCCAACGAGUAGUUCACCUCAAUUUCAGACGAAUAUGGGUUAUCUACUCGUUGAACCAAUUUGGCUAAAACUUUUAAAGAUGAUAUGCUCGUUGGGACCCAAAAAGGGAACAGUGAAGAGGCUGGUAUGUGACCGAAUAGUUGGUCUAAAAGCUGGUUAGCUUCGUAUUAUGAAACUAAGGCCUAAGAUUUUGGGGUCUAGAUUAUCCGUUCCAACCUGGGCUUCGACAUUUGUCUUUAUCCGUUCCAUCACUGUUUGGUUGGUUUUACAGUUCUUGUACAACAAGAAAUCUUUAUGGCAGAUCCAAUAUAAAUACUAAGUACCCGAUCCUUAGAGAUUUAUAGGGUUUCUUCACGAUCAGCGUCACUCGUUUGUGUCAAGAACAACCAAUAACGAUGUCUGCCAACGACAAAGCAGUAGCGGUACGUAGUUCUAGAUAUCUCUCUCUCCAUCUUCGAUACUUUUUCCUUGAUUCAGAUUUUCAUGUAAUCGUUCACUUUUUUCACGUAAAACUUUUUCGGUUGUAGGCUCUAGAGAAAUUAGGUAAAGGCUUCGAAAGGAUGGGUAACGGUUUGGGGUUUGUUGCUGUGGUGGGUGUGAUUUACCUGGGUUUCAAAUUGUGGUCAUUGAAUUAUAGCGUUGAGUUAAUCUUCUCAAAAGAUGAACCCCAAACCGAAACUAAAACCAAAGCCGGGAAGGAGGCCUUCACCUGUGGCGAUUGCAACAAGAAGGCAGUGUGCUCUACCUGCACUCAGAAGGUGUGCGCCGUCUGCAAGCAGAAGCCGUGUUCAUCUUAGUGUGUUCCCAAUGCUUCUUGGAGUGUUUGGUGAUUAUUAGUUUUAGUCGAAUUGAUCAAACAGUUGUGUUUUGUUUAUGUUUUUGUUUUUGGGAUGAUUAAGAAGUGUGCUCUUAUAGAGGUAUUUGGAUAUAUGUAUUUGGAUUUGCUGAUGAGAAUUUCACUCUCAAGUUUCUUGAAGUCUUGGUUUGGUUCUCUUUGAUAUGUUGAACUCCUUUUAUCUUAAAUAUUCUGCAUACAUAGUAUUAGAUGUUCAUAUCUAAGAUAAAUUAAGUAUAGUGUUUCACUGUCACCAGAAUAGCACUCGUACUUGUUUACUACGUACCUUACCCGAUUGAUAGUUGAUACCGUAUGGAAGCUUCUGACUUUUCGGCAAAUCAGAAGGUUAUGGAUGUGUGUCACUGUGUUAGGGUUGCAUUGUAUGUGAAAUAGCUUGCUAAUCAUUUGUACUUGUAUAUGCUGAUCGAGACAUCUUAUAUAUGUUGUUCCCUUCUAUGCCUGUAAUUAACCUUUUCGCCUACUGUUUAUUUGAUGUUGAUCCAAUUCGUCAUCAUUGUUCAAGAAGUUAUAUGAUCCCUUUUGAUAGCAAGAUCACAGCUCACUGAAUGCUCAAGAGAAUGUUAUGAUGAUCAACGCAUAUGCCAUUCAUGAUUCAUCGUUCCACAGAACAGAUUUUAUAGAGGCUUCCUUCGAGUGUUCGCCCCUUUGUACAAACAGAACAGAUAACUUGAAACCAUGAAGAAUGAUAUAUUGCAAUUAAUGUAAGGACUCGUUUGGUUGA
rnacentral:lncRNA from 1 species